GCCGAGAUGAUUGCACAAACUUUUGGGUGACAGUUGUGAUCAGCAGCUGGUUCUCAUGUGGAUUACCUUUAACUGCUGGUGCUGCUUUGUUGUUGGACGAUUUAAAAAUGUGCAUCAAAUAUUUUGCAUUUGCUCUUCUUUGGUUUCCUGGAGUGCUGCACGCACAGAGCACCACACAGGCCUGUGAUGCUCCCACACUGGACGGUGGCUUCUUUGCCCCAAAGCAAGAGACUUACUCUCACGGCACCAAGCUGAGCUACACCUGCAACGAAGGACGUCAGCUAGCAAUGAAGGGUUGGUGGGCAACCAGCACAUGUCACAAUGGAAGAUGGUCUCAUCAGCCACAGUGUAUAGAAAGCAUGAAUGCGUGCAGCGUGCCUCCUAAAAUCCCCCAUGCAGUCAUCGUUCAUCAGGACUACCAGGAAGUGUUUGCUGCAGGUUCAGAAGUGCAGUAUGAGUGUGAAGAUGGAUACACUGCAGAGGGAGCACACAACAAAAAAUCUGUUUGUACACAA